rnacentral:rRNA from 1 species
GUUAGGAAUAUUGGACAAUGGGCGCAAGCCUGAUCCAGCCAUGCCGCGUGAGUGAUGAAGGCCUUCGGGUUGUAAAGCUCUUUAGCCGAUGAUUAUAAUGACUGUAGUCGGAAAAUAAGCCCCGGCUAACUUCGUGCCAGCAGCCGCGGUAUUACGAAGGGGGCGAGCGUUAUUCGGAAUCACUGGGCGUAAAGCGUGCGUAGGCGGUUUUGUAAGUUAGGAGUGAAAGCCUAGGGCUCAACCCUGGAAUUGCUCUUAAAACUACAAGGCUAGAAUGUCGGAGAGGAUAGCGGAAUUUCCAGUGUAGCAGUGAAAUGCGUAGAUAUUGGAAGGAACACCAGUGGCGUAAGCGGCUAUCUGGACGACUAUUGACGCUGAGGCACGAAAGCGUGGGGAGCAAACAGGAUUAGAAACCCGUGUAGUCC